CGAACACAUCACGUUGAAACACCGGUUUCCGUAUAGUCACUGAAGUUAAGCAGCGUCGUUCCUGGGUAGUAACUAUAUGGGUGACCGUUUGAGAAUACCAGGUGCUGUAAG